UACGGAGGGUGCAAGCGUUAUCCGGAUUCACUGGGUUUAAAGGGUGCGUAGGUGGGAAAGUAAGUCAGUGGUGAAAUCUCCGUGCUUAACACGGAAACUGCCAUUGAUACUAUUUUUCUUGAAUUUUCUGGAGGUCAGCGGAAUAUGUCAUGUAGCGGUGAAAAUGCUUAGAUAUGACAUAGAACACCAAUUGCGAAGGCAGCUGGCUACAGGGAUAUUGACACUGAGGCACGAAAGCGUGGGGAUCAAACAGG
rnacentral:rRNA from 1 species